rnacentral:lncRNA from 1 species
CUAUGGCUCCACUCGCUACUUUUUUUCCGCUCGUUCCCUAUCUAUGGUCGAGCACUUCGUUCAUGAGUUGCUAUCACUUUAGCUGUAAUAACUAGAACUUCUGCUAUCUUCUCAAGCAAGUUCAAAUUGCUUUCCUUAGGACGAGCUUUUAAGGCAAAGUAGAAAGAGCUUAUUUAUUCGUCGAUAAAAAGCCUUUACUUAAAACUAAAAAGGAAUAGAACCGAAAGCUCUUUUCCAAUAUAAAUGUCAACAAGCACCUGACAGACGCUCAUCUACUUCCAUUUCCUAUUUUUUAUCAAUAUCCUUCCCUUCCCUUCCCUUAUAGUUAUAGUUAUAGAUAGUAUUCUUUCCUUCGCUUUUCUUCCUCUGGGCAUCAAAGGAGGGCGUAGACCAAUAUUUCAUUAAAUAAAAAAGCUCUUCAUCGCUGGAAACGGACUCGCUUCGCUAGCUCUAGGUGAAUUUGCAAAACGGGGAAGAAGGGUAUUUUAUUUCGAAAGUCAACCGUUCCCGUAACCAGAACCGAACAAGGAAGCUGGGCGUAGACCCGUUACUUCUUACUUUACUACGGUGGAGGGGAUGCCAUUAUUCCAAUGCGUAUUGACUACGUCGUAGGAACAGCGAUAGCGAUUGCGUGGGAACACCUUUCGCUCGAGGAGAGGAAUGCGGACAACCGGCGAAUAGUUUUCAGAUGAAGGUACAGAUCCGGAUUCACGGAUCAAAAAAGCAAGGAGCUCCUCAUUAGAGGACAGACCCAGCGCUCGAGGAUACGGAUUCGAUUGACCCUCUCCAUUUGCUAGCGCUUGAUACGAACCCUAGAGAAUGUGCUAUUCCCUUUUCGCUAGCUCACAUGCAUGUCCUAUUCCUCAUUCGCUACGGAUAUCCUUCAGCUUCCUGCUUCCGCUUCUUCUAUAUCUGAUUCAACCUUAGCCGAGGAGGGUUCAUUUUAGUUUCAUAUAUAUGGGAAAUCCUUACUUCACAUUUUUACCUUGGCUUGGGAAGUCACCACAGGAUUUGAUAAAACUCAUCUUCAUAUAUAUGUAUAUGUAAAAGUAGUGCUUUCAAUAACAAAACCUUUGCUUUGAACUGCUUUUCCAAGGAUCUACACUGGGCUAACUUGAAUCUGUUUACUUCACUUCUAUUUGAAACUACUCCUCCCGUCGAGAGUUUCUUUCUAUAUGAUAAUUUGAGAUUGCUCUACCGGACCUGAGUAGUAAGUGUUGACUCAUGCGAGUCACUCCUUCUCAGCUUUGACUUCUUGGCUGGCUUGAUGCUCAGUCUGGCCAAGGGGAUGACCCCCUUUUCUCUACUUUACUUUGUUUAGCUUUGCGAAUGAUACUUUUUCUUUUAAAUAAAGCUUUUUCAAAAUUCUAUUGCAGCACUUUUGCUAGAAAAAAAGCACGCACAAAAAGCACAUUUCUUCCUAGUACUUUUAUUUUUCACCCACCCAUAGGAAAGAUACGUAGCUCGGUCAGGGCAUAUCCUAAAGCCAUUGCCUCCAGCCAGUAGUAGUGGUAGGUAAGCAUCUUAAGUUAGGGGUGAAAUUGCUUUUCUGACAAGGAAAGGGAUUGUAGGCAAGCCUGUAUAAUUUCCUCUUACCUCUUCUCUGCAUUUCCAUCUUUCAACAUAUUCCCAAGCCUGGUGCUCGCUCGGUAAUUUCUUGUUUCACUGCUGCCUCUAACUUAUUUGGUUUAAAGCCUUCAUUGUACGACUGAGGAUUGGGUAGAUGCUGAUUCCGCGGCUCAGAUUCAAAUAGAACAGAACUGACCACUUUCGUCUGAAUCAUAAUUUCUCGAAAGAACUCUUUCGAUAAUGUGUUUUUAUUCCACUCAAUUAGAUAUAGAGAUGCUAGACUGGACUGUCUGCUUUCUUAGUGGACACGAGACCCUGCUCCUUCUUCUUUCUCAUUUGCCUCUUUCUUGAUCGUUUAGUUCUUGGCUUUCAUCCCCAGUGAGUAACUACGGCACGAAAGAGUAACGUAUAACGUGACGAUCCUAAAAGAGAACCAAAAGCUAGGCAGAAGAAGAAUUCCAUUCAAGCGAAGAACAGAGUGAAAACAAUCCGCGAACCGAUGAUCAUUUUUCCACUGACUGCUAUAAGAUAUAACUGAAUAUUUGGGUCUUUAAAUGGCUUUUUCUUCUUCUUCCGUGAUUCGGUAUCAGAGCAACGAACUUCUAGGACUGAUCUAGGUUGGAAGUUCGCUGGGGUUGCCUAGCGAUAUCACUUAGCUCAAUCUAAAGAUAUCUGAGCUUGUACCGCAUGGUUGGAGGCAAGAAAAGCAGAAGCACCAAUGACCUAGCCACCGAUCAGUAUAUUAGAAGGUUUUAUAAGCAGCUCUUUCUUAGCUUAUAUAACUGCACCGUAUCCAACGUACGCUCAUAUAGGCUCAACUAGUAAUACCAAUGUAGGAACUCCGAUUGGUUUCUCACAGGUCGGAUCCAAUAAUAUAAUAAAUAGACUUUAUGGUAAGGAGAACGAAGCUAGCAAAGCCAGGCAGAGAGAGUUCUUCUUGAUAGGAAUAUCGGGAGAAGGGCUUAUUGAUAGGAAUAGAGAAGCAUAGGAGGAAAACAGGGCGGAUGACUCUAUGACUUGUAAAAAAUAGGGCUUGUAAGGAGUCUAAUAAAACUAGAAUCGUUACGUUACUUGGUAUUACUAGUCUAGUAAAGUAGAUAUGUUUUUUCUCGCCCAUUUUUCUGCCGUCUCAUAUGUAUGAGUAGCAGUAUUGGCAUUGAAAGAACGUGGGUACAGGAAAUAGGGCGGUGGGGGCUAGGCUAGGUCAUGUGUCUAUUGGGAUAGGUAAGAGUUUAUGGAGGUCUCACUCUUCUAUGAUAUGGGUCUUUUGUACUACUCCUCUCUUCUUGUCGUACUCGUCUUUGCAGUGAAAUAAAUGGUUUUGGGUAUGGAGAACUAUGAGAUAGAUCACUUUCUUACAACUUGAUUUAUUCAAAGCAAACUAGAUACCAUAUCUACAGGUCCGUUGGAGAACUCUAAGUAGUAGUUGAAGCAAGGCAUUAGGAAGAUAGGUCCCACGUAGGGAGGGGAGUUUCUAAUUGGACGUGCAUUCAUUCCCUGGGGAGGGAGUACCGCUUUAAGUGCCGGAUUUGUACACAUAGUAUAGUAAAGACAUGAGGGUAUUCAAUUUUUGAAUAUAACAUGAAAGAAACCUCUCUCCUCUAGCUGGAGAAAGAAGGCUGGUUCUCGGUAGUCGAGGAGAGGUGGAAUCUUUCUUAGAACGGAAUGUUAAGACACGACCCAACAUGUUUCCAGGCAGGUAACGUAUAGAAGACUGAAAGUUGAAGUUCCGGUGGGUCUCGUCAAUCCUUCCUUAUUGCGCCUGCCCCUAAUUGGAGCUCUUCUUAUCUAUUUCUAUACCGAGAAUAGCUUUAUUGACGGGCUGAACGAACCCCUCACUUGGCUAACUCAACAAUCAUAUGUCUGAGAGUCUGGUCUAACUAAGCGGAUUGGAGGCGGGCAUUUUCAUUUCAACGUAGCAGUAGGGAAAGUGAUUUCGGGGGGUUAGUACACAUGGGCAGUUGGGGCAGUUACAGGUAGUUAAGUUCGGUCUUAUUCUUAUGGGCAAGUGGUCCUAGAAUCUCUCUUUCCUUCUCUAAAGUAUAGCUUUACGAAACUAGAAUAUGAGUAAAUAUAGAAAUAGAAUAAUAAAUAAGAAUAUCAUAUAGCCGUGUAUUAGUAAGGAUAGGUUUUGGUGAGUAGUAGUUCUUGGCAUUAGUAAGCUAGCUUCACUAGACUAUCUAUGACAGGAAAUUAGGUAAAUGCACAAUAUCUUUUCAAUGAAGUGAAUGAAGAAAGAUUCAUAGGAAAUGAACAAUAGAAAGAGUACUAUUCUUCAGUUACUCUUUUUUCUUGUCUUAGAAUAGAGAAUGUGUCAAUGGAUUAGCUGACUUUACUAUGUUCCUGUCUUCAAGUAUAAGUGAGUUGGUGUCAACGAAUAGUUGCUUAUUGCACUACUCAGUGAAUGAGAUAUAGCAUAUAUAAUGGAUUUUUCUUUUCCUUUUACUAUACUAACAUUCUUCCUUUAUUCUACUUACUUCUUUCUCGUCUGUGUCAAUGAGAAGUAAGAGUAUUCUCGUACUACGAAGAAUAGGCAAAUCUUUGAUUUGGAAGAGUUUUUUACUCAUAUCUUUGGGACCUUUAAGAGGAAAUGAGUGACUUUCUGCCGGAGAAUAGUAGUCAUCUGUACUCGUCUUUUGUCCUUCCAUACUUACUAAGCAAACUAGGUCACACCUGGACAACUAGGGAACAUAAGCGGGUGAUCUAAUGAUUCAGUGGGGAAAGCUGUUCAUAAGGACCGGUGAGAUGGUACUCCCCUGUGGUAUCCCAAGAACCGUAUUCCCAUGGGCAUUUCCUCCAAAAUAGGCUGUUUUGAGAAAGUAAUCUAUUAGCUGCACAAGUCCAGAGUUGUGUGUACCCCUAGUGAAAGAGUGGAGGAGUUCAGACGCAUAUCGAUACCAAAGUGAGAAGCCUCUUAAUGAUGGAGAACCUGCCUCUGCCAAAUGCCCAAUACAAGCAAGCAGGGGGAGCGGAUUCCCAGAGAGAAUUCCCGUGUUACUCUGAUAUUAGAAAUAGAGGAAACUAGCACUUUAGAAAGAAUGCAGAAAAAUGAUGGAACUAGAACGAAGCUCUACAAAGUUCACAACUCACCAUUGCAACCGUAGGAAUCUCUCCGAGGGUAGUAGGUCGGGGGAGCACCUUCCCUUUGCCUUAUGGGACCCUCGAUCAUACUCUUUUCUGAUAGCCGGAAAGGAAUGACCUAACUUACCACUGAGUAGGCGCCCUUUUUCUUUUCCUUCUAAACUAGCUGCUCUCGCUCUACCAGUUCGUACUGAACUUUCACUUUAAUUUAUAGGCGAUUUGCAUUAUCCGUUGGAUAAAAAUAAAUAUCAUAAUCAAGUAGAUAAUGCGAUGACUGCCUAUCUCUUUCGAGAAGGAGUCCUUUUUCCGAUACUUACUAUUGGGGUAGGCUAAGGUUACAUAGAUUGUCUCCUAUCUCUCCCCUGUCCUCUCGAGCUAAUGACUAAACCGACCCACGACGAGAGGAUCAACCACUGCCAUAGAAAGAGCAGCGACUAACUAAAACCAAGGAAUCCAUCAUCUGGCAUAUUGGCAAUGGGCGAACUGUCCGAGUGUGGCGUGAUCCGUGGAUUCCCAGAGCCAGCACUCUAACCAACUGAGCGAUUUCCCCAACUUUCAAUUGCUAAAAACAGCAGUUCUUUCAUUUCGGUAUAUUUAUAUAUAGCUUUCGCCCUUUAGUUCAAACAAACUUCAUCUCCUGCCCUGCCCUGCGUCGGCUCCUCAAAAUGGCCUAAAGUACCUCGCCGAUAAGCGAGUUCAACCACAUCGUGAACCAAUUGAAGUCGGUCGAGUACCCAUUGGGCGAUGAGUAGAAGGCACACUGCUUUUUUUUCCCUCUAUGCCGGAUAGUUGGUCCACAACCUUACUUAUAUGUUUAUGUGGCAACGCCAAAUUCUCUACUAUACUAUACUAUACUAAGAUGUUUCAGUUCGCUAGGUUGUCUCUUGCCUGCCCGUGCUACAAUUCCUUACUCAAAAGGACUAGAGUGCUAAGCUGCCUUCCCGGCACCACCACUAUAAUGAAUGGCUCAAACAAAUAGGAGAUGAGAGAGCCCUUUUGAUCCUUUCUAUUCUAUAAUAUAAAGAGAAGCUUGUUCAUCUAUCUAGAGAAUGAAAAGGAACUAAUGCCACUGAUAAGAAAUACAUAGACCGUACGCCCACUUACCACUCUACCACUUCAAUUCCAUGACGGACUUCUCCGAUACCUAGCUUGAGAGAGAUCACAGGCAUGUGGUGAACCAUACCGAGAGAAAGAGCACUGAAAUGAACCAUAUCGAGCACAGGUCUCACUCUACAAGUAAAGUUCGAUGAGCUCUUAGCGGAGUUGUGCCUACUAUCUACUAAGUGUGUGCUAGGGAAAGAAAGCAAGCAGAGCAGUUCUCACUCUGUCCGGUGACCAAGAAAGAAAGCUUCAAGAAUACCGUAAACAGAUCAGAGAAACCUCAUACCGAAUCGCCACGUGAAAGCGGGGUUAAGGUAAGGCAGGAAAGACUGACGCCGAAAGAUAUGUUUUGAAGAGAGCUCCAUCGGGUUGAAGCCGAAUUGCAGAGAAUCAAGAUCUUCUACCUUUGUUUGUUCCAUCAAUGCCCUUCGGACUGGCCUAAGAGUUGGGUCCCUGUCUGUAAUUAUGUGGCUAGGUAACCCAUUUAUGGCUUGUGGUCUUUCUGCUUAUGACGUAGCACUAUUCCAUCUUGUAAAUAACGCCUUCUUUAAGGCGCUACUAUUUCUAGCGGCAUAGGUGCUUUAUCACAAUACGAAACAUGUACAUACGAUUCCUAUUUAGAGAUAUUCCUACGACGUAGUAAAGAAAUUAAUAACAAAUACGAAUACGAAUUACGCCUACGAGCCAAGGACGAUAUAUGUAUAUGACUACGCCAAUACUUGACUUGUUUCAAUC